GAUCAAUGAUGAAAAUAGCCAAAUCUGAGCAUCAGAAGACUUUCUAGUCUACCUGAUGCAUGAUCUCUGUACUUCUGAGA
ensembl:snoRNA